rnacentral:rRNA from 1 species
GAUGAACGCUGGCGGCGUGCCUAAUACAUGCAAGUCGAGCGAACAGACGAGGAGCUUGCUCCUCUGACGUUAGCGGAGGACGGGUGAGUAACACGUGGAUAACCUACUUAUAAGACUGGGAUAAUUUCGGGAAACGGGAGCUAAUACCGGAUAAUAUAUUGAACCGCAUGGUUCAAUAGUGAAAGACGGUUUUGCUGUCACUUAUAGAUGGAUCCGCGCCGCAUUAGCUAGUUGGGAAGGUAACGGAUUACCAAGGCAACGAUGCGUAGCCGACCUGAGAGGGUGAUCGGCCACACUGGAACUGAGACACGGUCCAGACGCCUACGGGAGGCAGCAGUAGGGAAUCUUCCGCAAUGGGCGAAAACCUGACGGAGCAACGCCGCGUGAGUGAUGAAGGUCUUCGGAUCGUAAAACUCUGUUAUUAGGGAAGAACAAAUGUGUAAGUAACUAUGCACGUCUUGACGGUACCUAAUCAGAAAGCCACGGCUAACUACGUG